GCGCACGGGUGAGUAACGCGUGGGUAAUCUACCCUCGAAUUGGGGAUAACACAUCGAAAGGUGUGCUAAUACCGAAUAAGACCACGGUGGCUUCGGUCACUGAGGUCAAAGAUGGCCUCUGCUUGCAAGCUGUCGUUUGAGGAUGAGCCCGCGUCCCAUUAGCUUGUUGGUGGGGUAAGAGCCCACCAAGGCGACGAUGGGUAGCUGGUCUGAGAGGAUGGCCAGCCACACUGGAACUGGAACACGGUCCAGACUCCUACGGGAGGCAGCAGUGAGGAAUUUUGCGCAAUGGGGGCAACCCUGACGCAGCAACGCCGCGUGAGUGAAGAAGGCCUUCGGGUUGUAAAGCUCUGUCAAGCGGGAAGAAACUUUUCCGAAUGAAUAGUUCGGAAAAUUGACGGUACCGCUGAAGGAAGCACCGGCUAACUCCGUGCCAGCAGCCGCGGUAAUACGGAGGGUGCAAGCGUUAUUCGGAUUUAUUGGGCGUAAAGGGCGUGUAGGCGGUUUGACAAGUCAGGUGUGAAAGCCCUUGGCUUAACCAAGGAAGUGCACUUGAAACUGUCAGACUUGAGUACGGGAGGGGGAAGUGGAAUUCCAGGUGUAGAGGUGAAAUUCGUAGAUAUCUGGAGGAAUACCGGUGGCGAAGGCGACUUCCUGGACCGAUACUGACGCUGAGACGCGAAAGCGUGGGGAGCAAACAGGAUUAGAUACCCUGGUAGUCCACGCCGUAAACGAUGGGCACUAGGUGUAGCGGGUAUUGACCCCUGCUGUGCCGAAGCUAACGCAUUAAGUGCCCCGCCUGGGGAGUACGGCCGCAAGGUUGAAACUCAAGGAAUUGA
rnacentral:rRNA from 1 species